ACUUCUUGGACUAAGCUCUGCCUGCCAACACCGUAACCUCUGCACAUCAACUGUGUGACUUCAGAUUCUCCAAAUUUCAGUGUUUCUCUUUUUCGUGGGUCUCACACUCUCUCACACAAGUGAAAGCAAAGUGUGAGAGUGUCCUGCACACACCGCCUUCUCAGACCAGGGUUUUUUCCUGCAUAGAGAAUUACGUCAGAUUUUGACCCACCUCCAACUUUUUCACAAAACUCUGUCUUCAUGCUAUAUUUUAGAGCAAGUGAUGCACUCUUACGCUGAGGAUGUUGCAAUGUAUCGUAGUCAGGACAAUGCCAUGGGAAAGACUGUGCCCAAACUUCCUGCGAGGAAGAAAAGAGUUUUCCGAUUGGCCGGACCCCAGCACGCCGGCCCGACAGCGUUUCCACUGAUUCCCAGAGAACCCUGAAAUCUGCCAACCUGACACCUGAGCUACUGUCUCUACAUUAUCAGUCUAACUGCAUGAGAGAAAUAACUAGAGCUGGAAGGUCAGUGAACACUUGUGCUAAUUACUCCAAGCUAGAUCUGUCUUACCUUUCCCACUUUCAUCAAUUAAGCCCCCUGCGAAUACUUUACACUGGUAAAAUGGAAGGAAAUAAAGUUAGUUUUAAUCAA